UACAGAGGAUGCAAGCGUUAUCCGGAAUGAUUGGGCGUAAAGCGUCUGUAGGUGGCUUUUUAAGUCCGCCGUCAAAUCCCAGGGCUCAACUCUGGACAGGCGGUGGAAACUACCAAGCUGGAGUACGGUAGGGGGCAGAGGGAAUUUCCGGGUGGAGCGGUGAAAUGCGUAGAGAUCGGAAAGAACACCAACGGCGAAAAGCACUCUGCUGGGCCGACACUGACACUGAGAGACGAAAGCUAGGGGAGCGAAUGGG
rnacentral:rRNA from 1 species